rnacentral:rRNA from 1 species
UUCAACGGCCGCGGUAUUUUAACCGUGCAAAGGUAGCGCAAUCACUUGUCUUUUAAAUGAAGACCUGUAUGAAUGGCACAACGAGGGCUAAGCUGUCUCCUUUUUCCAGUCAAUGAAAUUGAUCUGCCCGUGCAGAAGCGGGCAUAAACCCACAAGACGAGAAGACCCUAUGGAGCUUAAGACCCGAGCAGACUACGUAAACACCCCGGCCCAAAGGGUCAAACCAAAUAGCACCUGCUCCCUGUCUUUGGUUGGGGCGACCGCGGAGCAACAAAAAACCCCCAUGUAGAAUGGGACCCCCCCUACACCACGAGCCCCUGCUCUAGUAAACAGAACUUCUGACUAAAAUGAUCCGGCAUGCCGAUCAACGGACCGAGUUACCCUAGGGAUAACAGCGCAAUCCCCUUCUAGAGCCCAUAUCGACAAGGGGGUUUACGACCUCGAUGUUGGAUCAGGACAUCCUAGUGGUGCAGCCGCUAUUAAGGGUUCGUUUGUUCAACGAUUAAAGUCCU